AAGUCGUAACAAGGUUUCCGUAGGUGAACCUGCGGAAGGAUCAUUAACAAAAUUCUUGGCCAGCGGCUCGCCGCCACGCCAAUCCACCUUGGUGGGAUGUCGCAACAACCGCAGUGCAAGCUGUGGGCGCCAGCAGUUUCCGUCUGGAGCUGCCUUGCCGGUCUAGCGCCAGCAAGUCCCUGAAGGGAUAGUGUUCUGCAAUGCUCGUCAUUCAGAAUGCUCGUGCUCGUGUUUGUGCUCGUGUUUGUGUUUGUGUUUGUGUUCUAGCAAUAGACGCACACGCACACGCACACACACAACACACACACACACAAUAUAUUAAAGUCUAAUAACAUGUCGAAAGACAACCAUUACAACUUUUAACAAUGGAUCUCUAGGCUCUU
rnacentral:misc_RNA from 1 species